UACGGAGGGUGCAAGCGUUAUCCGGAUUCACUGGGUUUAAAGGGUGCGUAGGUGGGUUGGUAAGUCAGUGGUGAAAUCUCCAGGCUUAACUUGGAAACUGCCAUUGAUACUAUCAAUCUUGAAUACCGUGGAGGUCAGCGGAAUAUGUCAUGUAGCGGUGAAAUGCUUAGAUAUGACAUAGAACACCAAUUGCGAAGGCAGCUGGCUACACGAAUAUUGACACUGAUGCACGAAAGCGUGUGGAUCAAACAGG
rnacentral:rRNA from 1 species